UAGCAAAACCAGGGAAGGCUGUGGGAAGCACUGUUGAAAUGGCUGAAUUGGUGCCUGUAACUGUGUGCGAAAUACAACAGCUGUUGAAAUGAAUGGCUCAGACAGGACCUGGCUUAUCUUUCUGCUCUGCAGAUGUAAGGCCUUGAAAAGGGGCCAGCGAGGACAGUCACUCCUUGCAGAUGCAACUUGGCUGACCUGCAGCCCUGGAAGUGUUUUUUCUCCAUGAGUGUUUGUAACAUUUGCACAUCUUUAAAACAUCUCGUCCUUGAAAUGGUAUCUAUUAUUUUUUUCCAUUUCAAAUGAGAUUUUGGGGGAUGAUUCUUUCUGCCAGAUGACUUCCUGCCUCUGGCUGCUUUCCCACGUGAAGUGCAGCCCACAGAGGGGUUUGGCACUGGGUGCUCAGCCUCUCUGCCUCGUGUGACCUGGUGGCACCUCGAGCCUUCUUCCUGGGUUGGGAUGAGAUUGGCAACGUGACCCCAAGGCGUUCAGAAACCCCAGACGGGAGAGCGACCUGUGCAAUUUAUCAGUGGGCUUCUAACUGUAAACUAGGAAAUAAAGAAUAAAAAGAGAGGCACAGCGUAGUGCUUUUGUUGCAUAUAGUAGUUUGUGUUUAAACAUAACAUCCUUUUUACUGUUCACAGCCAAACCUAUCUUUUGUGAAGAGUUCAAACAGAAACAUGUGAAUUUGGUUCCUCACGGGGGAAAAAAAUUGCAAUUGCUUUCUAGAGCAGAAUAGCAUCCAGUUUGUCCCAUGGAUGACCUGUGGAGAUUGGACUCGCCCUUCCCUGUUCAAAUGAAGCCGCGCUCCACAGGGAUUUGCUGAAAUCCCCAGGUAGGCUGCUGGGUUUGGCUAAAACUAUGCAAGGGAUGAGCCAGUACUGCUGUGCAGACUUGGAAAUUGAACUCUUUCAAUCUCCCACACUUGUUUGAAGUGGGGUGGAUUAUUGCUGUUGUUAAAUGAAGGAUUUUUACUUUCCGGUCCUCUUUCAGGUUGUCCAAGUGCAGAGGUUCAGGUUUGCUGUCAUUAAAACACGAUGUUUUUGCAAAUAAGUAGUGAGUAGCUGACUUGGCUGCCUUGCUGGAUUUGAGGCAGGUGUUUCGGAUGCCUUGUAAAUAGGUAGAGAGCAUUUGUGGAAUUAAAAGCAUGUUUGUUUUUUCUAAUCUUGUGCUUUCCUCGUUUUUCCUAUGUAAUAAAUGUCAUCAGCUGUGUUAACGUUGCUGCACCUCUAGAUGUGAUGUGGCAGUGUGUGAGUGCUGCUGGCAGAUCUCGGCUCUCAUUUGGGUGGGAGGAACCAUGGCAGCAGCAGGAUGAGAUCAUUUUACUCAAGAAAUCUCCAUCUGUAUAAACAGUUUGAUGUUUUUGAAGGCUGUUGGUGCUUCCGAGUAGAAGACUGAAACGCUUCUCUCUGCAAAAUCCUUUUAGAAGAGAUUGUCGGGGAACAAUUGCCAUCUCCUCCCUUAUGAAAGUGGAAGAUGGAUAUGAAGUGCUCUGCCACUGGAGCAGCGUUUGGGUUUGAAGUUUUGGGUGGCCGUGAGCUGGAGUGAGACAACGUGCGGCUCAUCCCAUCCACUCUGGAACCUCUUCCCGCAAUGCCAGGGGAAGCACGUUGUGAUUACUGUGUCUGGGUAGAAUACAGAGCAGCGUUUUGCCCUCAAAACGCGUAUUUCCAGCUCUCGUGAGGCACUUUCCUGUUUAAUUAAGGGUUUAAUGUGGAACGGGGCCGUGAGGCUGCGCCCCGCCGGCCGCCAGGGGGCGCUGUGGCGCAAGGUGCCCCUCUGGCCGGCCGGAAGCAGCGGUAGGAGAGGACAGGGCGGGGUCGCGCGUGACCGCAGCGCCCCCACCGGGAUCCGCGCCGCGCCCACGUGUGCGGCCGUGCCGCGCCCGGGUUGGAGCCGGCGUGUGUUUCUCCAUCCCCUCCUCCUUCCCCCUUCCCCGCGCGGUACCGGGGGACUCUUCCCCGUGUGGGAGCUAUGGAGCAGGCGCUCAGGUCUCUCGCCCGCAGGGCCGUAGGGCUGCCGUCCGCCGCCCGCAGCCGCUGCUUUGGGAAGGGCCCCGCGCGGCUCCGGCAGCCCUGGCGGUUCUGCACGGCUGCGGCGCGAGGCGGGGACCGAGCCCGUAUCUCCAGUGCGGGUCUGCGGGAGGGCUGGGGCUCGGCGGGACGCGAGGCCUCGAAGGGCAGGAGGAGGCCGGAGGGAAGGGCUCUGCCCAUCGAGAGGACGAGGGGCAGCGAGAUCCUGUUCGGCGUAGCGCCGUGCUCCAUGGCCCUGUCCCAGGCCAGGAGGGAUCUGUUCAGGCUGUUCCUCAAGCGGAGCGGCGGCCCUCAGCGCGUGGUCAGCAGCGAGUUCGUGCUGCAGGCCGCGGCACGCGGGGUUCCCGUGUUCCGCGUCGGCAGGAGGGAGCUGGAUGCGCUGUGCGGGGGCCGCGUCCAUCAGGGAGUGUGCUUGGAGGCCACCCCGCUCCGCUUCAAGAGGCUGGAGGAGGCCGAAGAGCCCGGUGUGGGGGAUGGAGAGAGCCCGAACCGACGGCUGCUGUGGCUGGUGCUGGAGCAGAUCCAGGACCCCAUGAACCUGGGGGCGCUGCUGCGCUCUGCGUACUUCUUGGGGGUGGACAGAGUGGUGACGAGCCGGAGGAACAGCUGCCCCUUGACUCCAACAGUGAGCAAAGCAAGUUCUGGAGCUAUGGAAGUCUUUGAUGUCUACAGCACAGAUGAUCUCCGGAGCUUUUUGAAGGCUAAAGCUGCAGAAGGCUGGGAAAUUGUGGGAACAGUGAGCCAGUCUGAAACUGUGGAAAAUGUUCCUGUCAUCAGCUGCUUGGAAUUUCGGUGGAAUAAACCCAUUAUUUUAGUAAUAGGUAGCGAAGGCGAUGGCCUUUCCCUGGAGACACAGCUCCUGUGCCACCAGAUGCUGGUCAUCCCCUCUGGCAGGGCACUGCACCCAGGCAUUGAGUCGCUGAACGUCUCCGUAGCCACUGGCAUUCUCCUGCACUCCAUCUGCAGCCAAAAGCUGAGGCACGGUGAUUGAUUUUUAUCCUGGCACAUGGUGGAAGUUGCCCAGCCAGGAUCUUUGAUGGCAAGAAACUGCUCAGUGUUCCAUGGCUGUGUUCAGCAUGGAUAUGGAAGUGCGCCUUCCAGGCUCGGCACUAUCUCAGCAAGUUUCAGGUACUUAAACAUGAGGAGACCCUUCAUUAAGUUUGCUUGUGCCUGGGAAAGCCACGUGCCCUCCGACCACGCUCAGCCAUCACAGCUCAUCCCCAGCAGACAGGCAGGAAAUGCUCUUGACCAUCUGCUGCUGCUCUAAGAAACGAGUGUUUACCACCAGAAAUAUCAGAGGUAUCUGGGAUAGAUGACAGCGGAGUGUAAGGGCAGAGUGCAGCCACUUAAGCAAAGCUGUGCCACAGUCGCCAUGAGCCUGGAGUUGGAAGCUGCUCAGUCAGCAGCAGCCUCCUCCCGUGGCACCAGGAGCUGCAGCCUGCAGUGUGCACAGCGAGACCUGGCGCAGUAGGGAAUACGUGGAUGGACACGGGGAUUUUGCUGUGGCCAAGCAGUAGGGACGAUUGGUGUGAUGCACCUCAUCUUAAGGGACAGUUCAUUUAGGUGAGCUGUCUUUAGUUCCUUGCUCCGCUCGCUGUAAUUGCUUCUUCAGAGUGAUGCUACACCGCAGGCGUGGGGCUGCUGCCUGGCUGGCCUUCCAUAGACAGACCAAGCAAGGUGAAGCUGAAGUCAUCAGCAGCUUCUGGAAACAUUCCCAGUCCUUGGCGUAUUCAUCAGGAUUGUUACAAUUCUGCUGCCACGAAGAGGGAAGUAUCUUGUUCUCCUGUUAUUUAUUAGCAUAUGCUGUAGUGUGAGGGACCGUGGUGGGGAGGGGAGCCCUGCUGUGAGGGGCACUGGGUAAACACAGCCGAAAUGACAGCAGCAGUCCUCAUCACAGAGCGUUAGCAAUUCAAACAGCCACGUCAGGCAGAGAAUUUGAGAGACGGAUGUAACACAAGCAAAGGAAGAAUGUGGCAGUUUGCAAACAGUGAUUUUUUUUGUAGGUGUGUUCAUUCUUGAAGUACGUCGAAAGAAAUGCAGAUGAAAUGCGUGGUGGGCAGGUCUGUGUGCAAGCAAGGCCUGUUGGAGCUUCACGUUGGAGAUGUAGAAACUUCUUUGUCUCGUAGAAAGAGAUAACAAGAGGGCUUUUUGAAAAUGUGAGAAAAGCAUUGGAGGCCUGCUUUUGCCUGAAAGCACAGUGGGAUAAAUCAUGAGUCUGAGGAGCAGGGAGUCGUGUGCUAUUCUAUUAAUAAAAGCAGAAGAAAGUAGCAGAACAGAAGCAGUGGAGCAAACCCAAAAGCCAGUGCCCCACCAAACGGGCAGAAAACCUCACCAAACAAAAGCUGAUGAAUUUCCGAGGUAGAAUUUGUUGGCAGACAAACUGGGCUGAUGUUUCCUAAAGCAACCAGUUUAAUCCCUCCAUUCUGCUAAGGCAAACGCCAAACAAAAGAAAUCUGCUCAACAUUUUCUAUUAGCCUGAAAUUUUGCUGUAGAGAAAAUGAUAACACAGAAGGAAUUUCCUUGGGAAAGAAAAGAGAAAAGGGCGCUGCGCAAUUAUUUUAGUUCAGACGACUGCAAUGCUAAAAAUGAAUUCUGGGGCAGGACAAUAAAACCAUAGACGAAUAUUAAUUCUGCUUCCAAUCAUCCAAGGAGUUCAGUCACCGAAGCCCAUUCAUAGUCUGUGUGGCUCAGAGGGAUGCUCCAAAAAAACUUUGAAAAUCCCAAUCUAAACACGUCUGUGUCCAGCUUUCUAAAGAUCCUUCUGUGUGGCUGCAAAGAAUAAGUAAUUUCCAUCUGUAACACGUUAUGAAGUCCUCAGGAAGUAGGCACCAGGGCAGUGUAAAAUGGUUAUUUUAGCAGUAUCUUCUCUUACAAUUGCUUGUUCUCCAUCUCCGCGGAGGGCGGCUGGCAGCACAGUGCUGCAGUGAUUUAAGCCCACCAGGCUGCGCUGUUGGCUCUGUUGUGAAGUGCCUGAGCCCUGUGCAGGACUUGGCCAUAAACUGCACAGCCCAAGGAAGAUGUUGCUUGUUUUCCAGGACAGGAUGAAAUCACCCCGUGCGUGUCCUCUGUCUAUUGCCUCUCCGGGCAGGGAAAACAUAAAUGCCUUUCCCAUCAUUUUAUUUAUCGCCUUUCUGUGUUUCCUGGGAAAAGCCUAUUUUUAUUUUUUAGCACUUUGUGUGUGUGUGUGUGUCUGUGUGGGGUAAAUGUGUGUGUGUGUGUGUUUAGGAGGUUAAAAAAAAUUUCUUGCUGUCAGCAAGUGAUGUUACAAACCUGCUCUGACAAGGCUGGUUGUAUAUUUACAGUUGGUGAGAGCGAAGGCUUCAUCAAUCUUCACGCUUUGAAAGGGACAGGCCCGCUCCCAUGAGCACCUGCUCCGGGAGAACAGCUGAACUGUGACUUUCCAGGGAGCUAGCUGUAAAUUUUAGCCAUUCCCCCCACAGCCCACGCAUGCUUGAGCUCUUUAACCUUCCCAGGCUGGCAGGAGUCCCAGCAAUCAGUUUAGUGCAAAGACUGGGGUUCUUUUUAAUUAACCUUUUGUUUCCCACUGCAGGUGUUUCGAAGUUUCUUAAUGUUAAAAAGGAAGAGGGAAAAAAAAAACUGUUUGCAGAGGUGCAUCCGCUCUCUUCCAGUCUUGCUAUGCCCGGUGAUCAGAUGGGACCGGUCUUUCUCAUCUUUCUGCUCCUCAUUUGCCUCCUGCAUAUCUGCCACCCUUUGAAUUCUCCCUCUUAAGUGGUGUGUUGCCUGCCUGGGAGCUCCUGCAGCCCUGCCUGUGUGAACAAGGAUGUGAUAACACUGGGUCCUGAAGCUGCAAAUGCAGAAGGAACCAAGGAGUAAAAGAAUUGACAAGACAAGCGGUGGUGGGAAAUGGAGGGAAGACUGUGAAAAAGGUUCUAAUAAAUAAUAAGAAAUGUUGCAUGGGCCAAAGGAAUAAUAGAUCAGCGAUGGGAAGACUCUAAAAGCUGCUGAGGGUUAUUUAUUGAUGGACAUUGUUUAAAAAAAAAAAUCAGUGACAGUUUUCCUUCGUGUUCACAAAGGCAGAUGGCAGGGCAGGUGCCAGAAUGAAAGAUAAAUUUCCUUUUGCAUAAAGAAGAAAUAUUGAAGGAAACUGAGCAGAGGUGAUGGAGAAAUUAGAGCGUUGAAAGACCCUGAAAGCAUGCGGUCCAUGUCAGCCCUCUCUCAGGAUUUUCAUCUGAGUCAGCAGAAAGCAGGAAAAACUGUUGCGGGAAAUGAGAACCUCUUUGAAGACCAGUAAUGGAGAGGUUCCUGCAAGUGCCACGUCCAGAGCUCUGAGGAAGGCUUUCCAGGAAUUAAAAUUGGUGGUGCAGAAGGUACCUCGUAUGGCUGAGUGGCCAGUGUGCAUCACAAUCUGGGACUGCAGUAGAGAAAUAGUUAGGAGAAGUUAUGAAUGUUAUUAAGGGAAACCAUCAAAGAUUCAGAAAUUGGAAGCUGGGCCAGUAACAGGAGAAGAAAACUGACGGAGGGUUUGUGAGGAGUUUGUGCAAAUCAUGAGCCAGGGGAGAGCCAAGAGAUACAACUUGUGCAGUGGCAGCAAAGGUUGGGUGUAACACAGUCAAGAUAACAUAGAGGGGAAGUGAUGAGUGUGGGACAUGGAAGUGCUGGUGGAGCUCUGAGCUGGUGGUACACAUAGCUGCUGUGAGGAUGCAUUGGUUUCCAUUGCCCUGGCUGUGAGCGGGGAGGUGGGGGGUCUUUGGGGGUCUGAGGGCACUGGGGGAGGGGUUACAGAGUGGACAAGGAAGGGAACGAACCCUGCAGGAGCUGAGGGCACCUGGCCUGGCUGGGGAACCUGAAGGGUGCGUCCAACCCAAGGCCAGCAGCUGUGCUUCUGCAACAUGUGCUAGGGAGCUCUAAUUAACAGCUCUCCAAUCAUCCCUGCAGUAGGUGAGUGCAAAUCAGACGGCCGUUGUCAAACACGGUGAAUCAGACUUGCCAACGGUUAACCAGGAGGAAAACUGUUUAUCUGAAAGCGGAGUUUGUUUUUUUUGGGGGGGGAAAUAGCAUCACUGUGGGUCGGCCAUUCAUCUGAUAUCCAAACAGCAUUAAAUCACUCAUCGUGUUGCUCGCAGUCAGCAGGUAACGGGGGCUGACAGAAGGAUCUGCGGGCUCUGCUUCCUGCACGUCCUCGUGUCUUUGUUUCAGGAAAGCCGCCUGCCCUUCUACAGCAAAGGAACGCGGCAGCCUGGAUCCACGUUUGCACGCACAAACCCCACCGUGUCAGACGAAACCCCUCACAAAGUCCCAUCAGGUGAUGGCCGCGACGGGGUUACGUGGGGGGCCUUCAUCAGAACUCAGCUGGGGGUCCGCAGUGUAAAGAGGGGAUGAGGAGGGAGGUUCUCCAGCACAGCACAGCUCGUGCUGCCUGAGGGCUGCCCGGACCUCAAACAGAAGGAAGCGAGGAAAAGCGGACGGAACGCGUCCCCUCGGAAGCGGGGCACGCCGGCUGCAGGGCUGCUCCCCGACGGCCGCAGCGGCAAAGCGCUCAGCUUCCGCCUCGUGCGUUGCUUGAGCCGCGCGUUGCGCUCCGCGCACGAGGCGCCGU